rnacentral:rRNA from 1 species
GGCGGACGGGUGAGUAACACGUAGGUAACCUACCCUUAAGCGGGGGACAACUCAGGGAAACUUGAGCUAAUACCGCAUAAGACCACGGGCUGAGAUGCCAGUGGGAAAAGGAGCAAUCCACUUAAGGAUGGGCCUGCGGCCUAUCAGGUAGUUGGUGAGGUAACGGCCCACCAAGCCAGAGACGGGUAGCCGGACUGAGAGGUUGAACGGUCACACUGGAACUGAGAUACGGUCCAGACUCCUACGGGAGGCAGCAGUGGGGAAUAUUGCACAAUGGGGGAAACCCUGAUGCAGCGACGCCGCGUGGAGGAUGAAGGCCUUCGGGUUGUAAACUCCUUUUGUAGGGGAAGAUAAUGACGGUACCCUGCGAAUAAGCCACGGCUAACUCUGUGCCAGCAGCCGCGGUAAGACAGAGGUGGCGAGCGUUGUUCGGAAUUACUGGGCUUAAAGGGCGAGUAGGCGGUGGAGCAAGUCUGAGGUGGAAUCCUACGGCUUAACCGUAGAACUGCCUUAGAAACUGUUUUACUUGAGUCAAUGAGGGGAGGGCGGAAUUCCUGGUGUAGCGGUGAAAUGCGUAGAUAUCAGGAGGAAGGCCUGUGGCGAAAGUGGCCCUCUGGCAUUGUACUGACGCUGAGGCGCGAAAGCGUGGGGAGCAAACAGGAUUAGAUACCCUGGUAGUCCACGCCCUAAACGGUGGGCAUUAGGUGUAGGGCUCGUAAGGGUUCUUGUGCCGAAGGGUAAACCAAUUAAAUGCCCCGCCUGGGGAGUACGGCCGCAAGC